rnacentral:ncRNA from 1 species
GGAAGCUGGAUGAUGCGAAAGUAUCACGUCCAGAUUUCAAAGGGAGGUGCGAGGGAUAAUACCCUCCAUCGACCCUAC